UCUGCUUUGCAAGUGUGAGUGAGAAAAACAAAUGGAUUUAUCUUGCUAAGAAAUCAAACAAGAGUCAUUUCGCGACUUUUCCACCUAAAAUAUCAGAUAGUCCGUGACUGUGCCUGGGGUUUGGUGUGUAAAGUGUUGGGAAGGGUUUUACCGUGGAAAGGCGAAAAAAAAAAAUGAAUCGCACGUUGACAAUGGCUGAAAUUAGAAAACUUAUCACCUCAUGCCCUGAUUUUAAGCUUUUUAUCUUUUGUUGUCUUUUCCUAUUGAGUAUCAACUCAUUUCUGGCCAUCUACUUCACCAUACAGACACUCAAGCAGACUUACUGAGAGAGGCUUGUUGCUGCUCUAUAAACUACUAUAUAGACGAGAGGGAAACACCAUGGAAAAUUUCUAUACACCUAUAUAAUUUUAUGGAAGCUGUAGAAGAGAAAAAACGCCGUAUUGAAAAGGAAAAUGUUAAAAAAAAAGAAUAAGUUGGUAAUUUAAAUGGAAAGCAAUCGUUAAAAAAAGAAGUUAAAUUCUAAAAGUUAUGGA